rnacentral:rRNA from 1 species
AGCGGCGAACGAGUGAGUAACACGUGGGCAACCUUUCCUAUCGCGGGGGAUAACAGCGGGAAACCGCUGCUAAUACCGCAUGUCGUCACCGGUCGCAUGGCCGGUGAAGAAAGCAGCAAUGCACGAUGGGGUGGGCCCGCGGCCUAUCAGCUAGUCGGUGGGGUAACGGCCUACCGAGGCGAUGACGGGUAGCUGGUCUGAGAGGACGACCAGCCACACGGGGACUGAGACACGGCCCCGACUCCUACGGGAGGCAGCAGUGAGGAAUCUUCCGCAAUGGGCGAAAGCCUGACGGAGCGACGCCGCGUGUGGGAUGAAGUCCUUCGGGAUGUAAACCACUGUUGGAGGGGAAGACUUCGACGGUACCCUCCGAGAAAGCCCCGGCUAACUACGUGCCAGCAGCCGCGGUAAUACGUAGGGGGCUAGCGUUAUCCAGAUUUACUGGGCGUAAAGCGCGUGUAGGCGGCUGGUUAAGUGUGAUGUGAAAUCCUCGGGCUCAACCCGAGAACUGCAUUGCAAACUGGCCUGGCUAGAGUGCAGGAGAGGGAAGCGGAAUUCCAGGUGUAGCGGUGAAAUGCGUAGAUAUCUGGAGGAACACCAGUGGCGAAGGCGGCUUCCUGGCCUGUAACUGACGCUGAGACGCGAAAGCGUGGGGAGCGAACCGGAUUAGAUACCCGGGUAGUCCACGCCCUAAACGUUGCGAACUAGGUGUUGGUCGGAUUGACCCGAUCAGUGCCGCAGCUAACGCAUUAAGUUCGCCGCCUGGGGACUACGGCCGCAAGGUUAAAACUCAAAGGAAUAGGCGGGGGCCCGCACAAGCAGCGGAGCGUGUGGUUUAAUUCGA